GUCGUCGUGGCCAAGUUGGUGAAGGCGCUGCGCUGAUAACGCAGAGAUCGGUGGUUCGAGCCCACCCGACGACA
rnacentral:tRNA from 1 species